GGCCUACCGUUCGGGGGGCUUUACCAUGGGCGGGGAAAACUCGUCGAACACACAAACGGAAGUCAGAAA
rnacentral:ncRNA from 1 species